GAUGAAGAACGUAGCGAAAUGCGAUAAGUAGUGUGAAUUGCAGAAUUCAGUGAAUCAUCGAAUCUUUGAACGCACAUUGCGCCCCUUGGUAUCCCGAGGGGCAUGCCUGUUCGAGCGUCAUUUCACCACUCAAGCAUGGCUUGGUGUUGGGCGACGUCCUCUUUGGGGACGCGCCUCGAAACGCUCGGCGGCGUGGCACCGGCUUUAAGCGUAGCAGAAUCUUUCGCUUUGGAAGUCGGGGCCCCGUCUGCCGGAAGACCUGCUCGCAAGGUUGACCUCGGAUCAGGCAGGGAUACCCGCUGAACUUAAGCAUAUCAAUAAGCGAAGGA
rnacentral:misc_RNA from 1 species